CACCUGUUUAUCAAAAACAUGUCUUAUUGAAAAUAAUUUUAAGUCAAUCUGCCCAAUGAAAUACUUAAAUCGCUGCAGUAUAAUUGACUGUACAAAGGUAGCAUAAUCAAUUGAUUUUUAAAUGAAAUCUGGAAUGAAAGGAUUAAUGAAAUAUAUACUGUCUCAUAUUUAUUAUAUAAAUUUAAAUUUUUAAUAAAAAUGUUAAAAUAAAUUUAUGGGACGAUAAGACCCUAUAGAAUUUUAUAUUUUAUUAUUUUAUUUUAUGAAAAUUUUAAAUUUAAUAAAAUAUUUAGUUGGGAGAAUUAUUAAAUUUAAAAAAUUUUAAUUAAUAAUAACUUAGAUUAAAGAAAAAAUAAUGAUUUUUAAUUUAAAAAUAUUAGAAUAAAUUACCUUAGGGAUAACAGCGUUAUAUUUUUUUAUAGGUCAUAUAGAAAAAAAUGAUUGCGACCUCGAUGUUGAAUUAAGAUAAAUUUUAAAUGCAGGAGUUUAAUAAUUAAGUCUGUUCGACUUUUAAAAUCUUACAUGAUUUGAGUUCAAAUCGACGUAAGUCAGAUUGGUUUCUAUCUAUA
rnacentral:rRNA from 1 species